GAGUGGCGAACGGGUGAGUAACACGUGGGUAAUCUGCCCUGCACUCUGGGAUAAGCCUUGGAAACGGGGUCUAAUACCGGAUAUCACAACUUCAGCGCAUNUGGGGUUGUUGAAAGUUCUGGCGGUGCAGGAUGAACCCGCGGCCUAUCAGCUUGUUGGUGGGGUAAUGGCCUACCAAGGCGACGACGGGUAGCCGGCCUGAGAGGGUGACCGGCCACACUGGGACUGAGACACGGCCCAGACUCCUACGGGAGGCAGCAGUGGGGAAUAUUGCACAAUGGGCGCAAGCCUGAUGCAGCGACGCCGCGUGAGGGAUGACGGCCUUCGGGUUGUAAACCUCUUUCGCCAGGGACGAAGCGCAAGUGACGGUACCUGGAUAAGAAGCACCGGCUAACUACGUGCCAGCAGCCGCGGUAAUACGUAGGGUGCGAGCGUUGUCCGGAAUUAUUGGGCGUAAAGAGCUCGUAGGCGGUUUGUCGCGUCGGCCGUGAAAUCUCCACGCUUAACGUGGAGCGUGCGGUCGAUACGGGC
rnacentral:rRNA from 1 species